AUGAGGAAAGGCUGAGAGAGCUUGGCCUGUUUAGCCUGGAGAAGAGAAGGCUGAGAGGGGAUCUUAUUAACGUGUACAAGUAUCUGAAGGGAGGGUGUCAAGAGGAUGGGACCAGACUCUUUUCAGUGGUGCCGAGUGACAGGACGCGAGGCAAUGGGCACAAACUGAAACACAGACAGUUCCAUCUGAACAUGAGGAAAAACUUUUUCACUGUGAGGGUGACAGAGCACUGGAACAGGUUGCCCAGAGAGCUUGUGGAGUCUCCUUCUCUGGAGAUAUUCAACACGCGCCUGGAUGCAAUCCUGUGCAACGUGCUCUAGGUGACCCUGCUUGAGCAUGGGGGUUGGACUAGAUGAUCUCCAGAGGUCCCUUCCAACCUCAGCGAUUCUGUGAUUCUGUGAAUCAAAUCUUCUGCAUGGUAGCAGAAAAUUGAUAGUUUUCACGUAAUCGUUUUUCAUUGACCUACCUGAAAUUUUUAUCUGGAGUCCAUUUGCUGGAAUGGUGUGCAUAUUACAAAAAUGGCCACUGUCAUUGCUGCUGUUGACAAUUUCAGCAGAGCAGUCAAAGAGGAACAGUGCUUGGAGACUUAAUUAUCCUCACUCUCAUUUUUAGGUCUUACUUCUCCAGGCAGCCUGAUGCAGAAAGGGUGCUGGCUUGCUUUUAUCACAUCAAAGCCUGAUAACAGCAAUUCUGUGCUUACCAACCUCCCUCAUGAGCGUAUACAGCAUCCACAGAUGCCUUUGAAGACUUCUGCUGAGGAUCAUGGACCAUGUCCUAGUUCUCUAAUCCUGCAAGGAGAUAACAGUCCCACAAUGGAGGAAAUGGGCAAAAGUGAUGGAAUCAGUGAGCUGAAACAUCUGCACAUCACCAGCAGCUGCCACUGCCCUCAAGGAAAUCUUCCAGAGAAGAGGUCCAGAGACAAAGAGAAGCAGGAGCCUUGCAAGCUUGUGUGA
rnacentral:lncRNA from 1 species